UUUUUAUGGUACAGAGCUGGCCUUUUCACAAUAAAGUAAUUAGGGGGAAACACCACUUUUUUCUGUUACUUGGAAUUUGUGGCAUCAUAACAGAACAUUUCUUUUCAUUUACAUUGCCAGAGGCAAUAGACUGACGUUUAGUCUUACCAGCCCGCAAUCCAUGUAUCAUUUACUCUAACACUAUCUAUAGCUGGAGGGAUGCAGAAGCCAUUAAGUCCUCUAAGCAGAACUCCUUGUGCAGCGGAAACAUCUCUACGACUGCAGACUUGUCAUUUAGCCUUCUGGGCUCUGAUUACAUCCUCUGCUCUCCAGAUUCCUGCUGCAGCUCUACUGACCAUUUAUAUUUACUAUGGUUUAUGUUCCACAGCCUGUUUUUCAGUCAUGGCUUAAAGAGGACCAGUCCUGUUUGGCCUUGACUUCCAAAUAUAUAAAUAAUGAAAGCAAGAGGGCAUGCAUACACUACAAGGCUGCUGACAUUGACAAAUUCACACAACACACAAGAUCUAGAACACACACCCGUACACCGAACAGCAUCUUCAUUCAAAUCUUAUAGAAUGUAAUAGUUUUUUUAACACCUAAGGUAAAAAUAAUAGGGUUUAGUUACAGAAUGUGAUCAUACAUACAUUGCAGAAGCCUGCCACAGUGUCACUGUAACCCAUUCUUGGCAGGUCCUACUCUAGCAACCUAAUGCCUGCUCUUAUGAGAUUAAUCCACUUACUUGGGAAAUGCUUCCUCUUGGGAGACUCUGCGAUGCAAGGUUAAAUAGGGCCCUGGAAUGAACCUUGCAUUGCAAAUACACUAUUAAAUUCUGUGAGGUUUAAAUGAAGUUGCUAUUUGGUGGAUGGGUGAGUGCGUUGGAACUUGGCAUCAACCUUGUAGUGUAUGCAUGUUCAGUUAAAUGCAGGCCUCUUAGUUUCAUAUACAAACAUAUAUACACACACUUUAAAGGGCCACUACAGCCACCAAAACAACUUGAGCUUAAUGAAGCAGUUUUGGUGUAUAGAUCAUACCCCUGCAAUCUCACUGCUCAAUUCGCUGCCAUUUAGGCAUUAAUACACUUUGUUUAUGCAGCCCGGGUCACACCUCCCUGCAUGUAACUUACACAGUCUUAUCAAACACUUCCUGAAAAUAAUGAUUAAACUUUAUUGCAUAUUCUGCGAGAGAGAGAUUGUGUAUUUUGUUUUUUUUUUUCCUCCCAAAGCAAGUUGUGACAGAUCCAUCUGUAAGACUAGUGUGGCUGAAUCGUAUAGUUUGCCUCCUUUCGCGGAAUUGCCUGUCCGUAUGCCUCUAUUCGUCUUUUUGGACUUAUAACCAAAUGAAACUACCGAACGGAUGGCCACCCAGAAGAGAAGUGUGCUGCUGGUUAACCUCUUGGCCUCAAUUAGAACGUUGUGGUUAACCGCAGACACCUCUUAAUUAUAACCAAACGCAGGGUGGUUGUCGUUCGUAUGCCGACCACGAGGUGGCGGACAUUUUAAAACAUGCGAAAGACCAGCGGUGUUCGGCGCAGAUUCUAUGGAACUAAAAAUGGACACCUUAUCUACCGAACACCGCUGAGACUACCGACCGCCCUUCUCAUUCGUCAAGGCAUGCGAACACCGUUCCGAGUUUGGAUUAUACGAAUGGACUUAACCCAGAUAGCCAUCCCAUGGAGUCAAUCGCAUACCGAAAGACUGUAGAAGACUUUAACUCCAUGGCGAUUGAACUGUGCGUAUGGGUUCUGAGCGCUAUUCGGUAGGAAUAUGCACUCAGAUCAAGGCUAUCUGGGGAUACGUUGCACGAAUGUAAUAUGUUAGGUAGUUGUAUAAUUACUUAUUUUUAUGUGUUUUUUAUGUUUCAUUUAAAAUGGCGAUUUGCCUCUGUCCUGGGAGAUAAUUGAAUUACUUCUCAAUUAUCCCCAGGGCAGAGAGGAGGAAACCAAGAUGCAUUGUGGGAAUAUUCUGUGCCUGUAUGUCCUAAAGUGCUACAUGUCUGUCUGUAACUACAGUCUCCCAUUUGGUCCCCUAGGGGAGUGUCCACCAAGUGGGAGACCUGCAUAAAUACGGGCAGGUGGCCCACAGUAAAGCCAGUUCUUGUUUUACCCUCAAUGCGGAGCUUGGUCUCGUUAUUGAUUUACUACACACGGUUAGCGACUGAUUGCUGGGAACGUAAGCCGCUUGGAAGAUAUAUUUGAUCGACUGUUAGCCGCGAUUCGUGGAUUUAUUGUUCGGGAGUUUGGAGAACUCGUACGGAUCCCGUUCGGGAGAUUGGCGCAUUCCCCUGGCUUCAGUUCGUGCGGUUGAGGUAUAUACAAAUUGAGCCUGCAUUACUGAGGAAGGGGAAGCUUAACUAAACGGCGGUUUCACUCCUGUGUGCCAGGGGUGUCUUAACACAAGUUAACAUGUGAUUGAAAUUGAAACCAUUUUUUUUUAAUGCAGGCUGUGUGCAUCACAGCCAAGGACAGAAAGAAACGCAAUUUAAUUGCUAAAUAGCAGAGAAUUGUGCAGUUAGACUGCUUGAGGUCAUGGUCUAUACACCCAAACUGCUUCAGCUAAACUUGUUUUCAUGCCUAUAGUGCCUAUAAAAUGCAUAAUAACAUGUUCAUUGCACCACAGCAUUAUGGGAACAUUUUAGUUGCGUGAAAACCACACUAAGCCUAAGGUGUAUUCACUAAUUUGAGAUAUGGGGAGUUGAAACGUUCUACAUUUUUAAAUUCCAUUAGCUAUUUGAUUUUAGUUUAUUGAAUAAAAUAUAUAUUAACAAAAAAU